AAACGAUCUCAGGUGCUAAACAAGGAAGCACACUACAGACUGGUGAGUCCACAUUUAAAAAUAUGAUGGGCUAGCUGGGUGCAGUGGCUCACGCCUGUAAUCCCAGCACUUUGGGAGGCCAAUGCGGGUGGAUCACGAGGUCAGGAGUUCGAGACCAUCCUGGCUAACACGGUGAAAACCUGUGUCUACUAAAAAUACAAAGAAUUAGCCAGACAUGGUGGGGGCGCCUGUAGUCCCAGCUACUAGGGAGGCUGAGGCAGGGGAAUGGCGUGAAUCUGGGAGGCGGAGCUUGCAAGGAGCCGAGAUCAGGCCACUGCACUCCAGCCUGGGCGACAGAGCGAGACUCCGUCUCACAAAAAAAUAAAAUAAAUAAAAAAAGAUGGGUUGAGAGGAAGGGCCCCAGACUCUGCGAUGUGUUAAAUGAACAAACAAAACAGCCCCCUGAAAAGUGGCCUUUGGAGUUCAGCAACCCUACUCUGAAUCCCAGAAAUUCUUUUUGCCACUUUUGAGUUUUACAAUCAGGAAAAAAAUAAUUAACAUUUAAUAAGGAUCACAUACACCAUUCAUCGAAUAGGCUAUUAAGAUUUAUCUUGUGAGAUUUUAAGGAUUAGGUUAGUAGUUUAGGUGCUAACAGGUAUCCAAUAAAUUAUGGAUGUUACUUUUUAUUUGUUACCAUUUUCAUGUUUCUAGUUAUAUCGGUCUUCUUUGAGAUAACUUUAUAUGGAGGAUGGAAAACCUCCCAGGAGUCCGUGGAAGAAAAGGAUGCAGUGACCUGGGUUCAUCUGGGUGGAAAGAGCAGCCCCGGCACAUGGGUUAGUGGACUCUGCUCCAAGGCGUUUCUCCAAGGGCAGAACACACGAACCAACAUCCAAGAGUGAAACUUGCUGCAGAAUUACUGAACUGCCGAAGGAAAUCAUUGUUCCACUCACCCAUCUACAACUUGCUCCCACAGAGAUUCACAAUGAGAGGGAGAAGAGAAAAAUAAUUUUGAUAAUGUGUACAUCUUUUCCAUUCCCAAAGUUUUCUCCUUGUGAAGAGAGGUCAAAAUAAUACGAUGCCUGGUUAUUCUCCACCUGCUUGCUCAUUAAAGAGGUCCUCAUAUUGUUGGUCAGUCUUGGAAGAAUCAGUGUGUGUGUGUAUUAUUCUGCCUAGGCUGCUAUAACAAAAUACCGAAGCCUGGGUGGCUUAAACAACCGACAAUUAUUUGUCACAAUUCUGGGGGCUGAAAGUCCAAGAUCUAGGUACCAGAGGAUUCAGUUCCUGAUGAGGGCUCUCUUCCUGGCUUGCAGAAAGUCAUCUUCUCCCUGUGUCCUCACAUGGUGGAGAGCGAGAAGAAACAAGCUCUAUGGUGUCUCUUCUUACAGGGAAACUAAUUCUCCCAUGAGGAUGCCACCCUCAUGACCUCAUCUAAAACUAAUUAUCUCCCAAAAGGCCCAUCUUCAAAUCCCAAAUAUCACAAUGGGAAUGGGAGUUCCCACAUAGGAAUUUAAGGGAACACAACCCAGUUCAUAGCACUAUGCUCAGCUCAACCCUUUUUCUGAUCUUGGGAGUGAAUAUGCCCACCAAAAUUAUGAGUUUACUUUUGUUCUCGCAUGUUGGAAGCCUCACUGGACUGAUGGCGAUAAAGUGCCUGAUUCUUGGGUUUGGUAUUAACAGUUCCAUUUGGCUCACAACCUAAAUCCAGGCCUUCCACCCCAGUCUUCAUUGCAAUAAAAAUGAUAUUCUGGGCAUAUCG
ensembl:lncRNA